UGAGGCUGAGACUUGGAAACUUUCGUCACGAAAGCUGGAAACUUGGACCGGCGAAAUCUUUCGUGAUCUAGAUGCCGUGUAUUCGGACUUCGGAGGUCGAAAACUGACCGUAACUGCCAAUAACGACAGUCCGUUUGUUGAAAUGAGAGAAUUCGACAACGGGACCUACGUUGCUGAUUCCGGAAUUGACGUCAGCGUGAUAAGUGCUCUCGGAUCCGUUUUGAAUUUUACGUACAGAGUCAUAAAGCCAGCAGACGGUAAAUGGGGCGGUCCUCUCCCAGACGGUACAAUCACUGGUAUGAUCGGGGAAGUGGCCAGAAGAAACGCUCAUUUCGCCAUCUGCGAAAUCACUAUCACCGGUAUCCGAGAAAGCGUGAUUGACUUCACGAUGCCCUAUUUCCUGGAGGCUCUGACCAUCGUCUCCCGAUCCCCGGCAGAGAAAAACAGAGCCUUUGCUGCCUUCUCUCCGUUUGAC